UACGUAGGGGGCGAGCGUUGUCCGGAUUUACUGGGCGUAAAGGGCUCGUAGGUGGUCAACUAAGUCGGACGUGAAAUCCCUCGGCUUAACCGGGGAACUGCGUCCGAUACUGGAUGACUUGAGUUCGGGAGAGGGAUGCGGAAUUCCAGGUGUAGCGGUGAAAUGCGUAGAUAUCUGGAGGAACACCGGUGGCGAAGGCGGCCUCCUGGACCGACACUGACGCUGAGGAGCGAAAGCCAGGGGAGCAAACGGG
rnacentral:rRNA from 1 species